UACGUAGGGGGCUAGCGUUGUCCGGAAUCAUUGGGCGUAAAGCGCGCGUAGGCGGCCCGGUAAGUCCGCUGUGAAAGUCCAGGGCUCAACCCUGGAAAGCCGGUGGAUACUGCCGGGCUAGAGUCCGGAAGAGGCGAGUGGAAUUCCUGGUGUAGCGGUGGAAUGCGCAGAUAUCAGGAGGAACACCGGUGGCGAAGGCGGGUCUCUGGGCCGUAACUGACGCUGAGGAGCGAAAGCAUGGGGAGCGAACAGG
rnacentral:rRNA from 1 species